rnacentral:lncRNA from 1 species
UUGUUUGGUGAAGGUGUGUAAAUUAGAAAGAGUGAAAAAGGGAGAUGUAUCAGUAGAAGAGUUUAGUAAUUAAGGGAGGAAGAGGGCUCAUGUACUGGGAUUAUAUUGGCAGUGGAAAGAGUAUGGGUUGGUAGUAUGAGAUGUUGGGGUUUUAGUUACAAAGAAGAGAGAAAAUAUAAUGUGAGUUACAAGGGAAAGUUUCUCCGUGAAAAGUAAGAGAGAGAACGAUGGGGCCUUAUUAGUUGUUGCGCAGAGGAAGAUAGGUUUUAGUUUUUUUUUAGUUU